GUAGGCUUAAGAGUUAGGUAAAUCCGGCUCUUUUUAAGGCUGAGACACGACGUCGAGCAUCUACGGAUGUGAAGUCAUUGAUGCCAUGCUUCCAGGAAAAGCCUCUAAGCUUCAGAUUGUAAGGAAUCGUACCCCAAACCGACACAGGUGGUCGGGUAGAGAAUACCAAGGCGCUUGAGAGAACUCGGGUGAAGGAACUAGGCAAAAUGGUACCGUAACUUCGGGAGAAGGUACGCUCUCGACGGUGAAGUCCCUCGCGGAUGGAGCUAUUGAGAGUCGCAGAUACCAGGUGGCUGCAACUGUUUAUUAAAAACACAGCACUGUGCAAAAUCGUAAGAUGACGUAUACGGUGUGACGCCUGCCCGGUGCCGGAAGGUUAAUUGAUGGGGUUAGACUUCGGUCGAAGCUCUUGAUCGAAGCCCCGGUAAACGGCGGCCGUAACUAUAACGGUCCUAAGGUAGCGAAAUUCCUUGUCGGGUAAGUUCCGACCUGCACGAAUGGCGUAAUGAUGGCCACGCUGUCUCCACCCGAGACUCAGUGAAAUUGAAAUCGCUGUGAAGAUGCAGUGUACCCGCGGCUAGACGGAAAGACCCCGUGAACCUUUACUACAGCUUGGCACUGAACAUUGACCCUACAUGUGUAGGAUAGGUGGGAGGCUUUGAAGCACGUACGCCAGUAUGUGUGGAGCCGUCCUUGAAAUACCACCCUUGUAGUGUUGAUGUUCUAACGUCGACCCCUUAUCGGGGUUGCGGACAGUGCCUGGUGGGUAGUUUGACUGGGGCGGUCUCCUCCCAAAGAGUAACGGAGGAGCACGAAGGUGGGCUAAUCACGGUUGGACAUCGUGAGGUUAGUGCAAUGGCAUAAGCCCGCUUGACUGCGAGAAUGACAAUUCGAGCAGGUGCGAAAGCAGGUCAUAGUGAUCCGGUGGUUCUGAAUGGAAGGGCCAUCGCUCAACGGAUAAAAGGUACUCCGGGGAUAACAGGCUGAUACCGCCCAAGAGUUCAUAUCGACGGCGGUGUUUGGCACCUCGAUGUCGGCUCAUCACAUCCUGGGGCUGAAGUCGGUCCCAAGGGUAUGGCUGUUCGCCAUUUAAAGUGGUACGCGAGCUGGGUUUAGAACGUCGUGAGACAGUUCGGUCCCUAUCUGCCGUGGGCGUUGGAAGAUUGAAGGGGGCUGCUCCUAGUACGAGAGGACCGGAGUGGACGAACCUCUGGUGUUCGGGUUGUGUCGCCAGACGCAUUGCCCGGUAGCUAAGUUCGGAAUCGAUAACCGCUGAAAGCAUCUAAGCGGGAAGCGAGCCCUGAGAUGAGUCUUCCCUGAUACUUUAAGUAUCCUAAAGGGUUGUCGGAGACUACGACGUUGAUAGGUCAGGUGUGUAAGUGCUGUGAGGCAUUGAGCUAACUGAUACUAAUUGCCCGUGAGGCUUAACCAU
rnacentral:rRNA from 1 species